UUCAACCCUUGUGCUCUCAAUCUCAAGUCUCCGCCGCUUAGAUAGUUAGAUUCUGUAGUCAUCUCUCUCAAGUCUCUCCCUCUCUCCCUCUCUCUCUCUCUCGAGAUCUGAUAAUAGAUCGUCACUUGGCGACUUUCUUUUUAAUCUCAGAGGCACAAACACGGAACCAUCGGAGACGUGAAAUCAACCAUCGUAAGAAAGCGGGAGAGUAAGGGUCGACAAGGAUAAGGUUUUGUGGGGGUUCUGAUCCUGUCUUUUUGAAUGGAAGCUAAAAUGACGUCAGUGGUCCGGAGAAUGGCUGCUUUUGCAUUGGUUUCUGCUUCAGGUUUGCUUCAGACUCAUCCCCUCCCCUGGGGAGAGGUACUCUGAACAAUUUCUUGCAUUGUUCCUCUCUCUCAAGCUGUCGGAGAUCGUCUUUUUCCGGUGUUAGAGACCGUAGUAUGUCAUACAGAGACAGAUUGAGAUGUGGGUUUCAUGAUUGUCAUGUUGAGGAUGCUGAUGAUUUGUUCGAUCUGAUGGUUCAGUCUCGUCCCUUACCUUCCAUCGUUGAUUUCACUAAACUAUUGAGUGCAAUCAUGAAAAUGAAACGGUAUGAUGUUGUCAUUUCCCUCUGCAAGAAAAUGGAAUUGCUUGGGGUUUCACAUAAUAUCUACUCUUUGAGUGUUUUGAUCAACUGUUUCUGCCACUCUCGUCAAGUGUUUUUGGGCUUAUUUGUCGUGGGAAAAAUCUUGAAACUCGGUUACAAGCCUGAUGCAGUCACCUACACUACUCUAGCUCAUGGUUUAUGUAUCCACGGCAAGAUAAAUGGUUACUGCAUGGCUAAUAGAGUCAAUGAAGGUAUUAAUCUCCUUUAUGAGAUGUCUCGAAGAGGAUUGGUUGCUGAUGCAAUUAAUUACAACAUCCUCAUCCAAGGGUUUUAUCGAGUAGGCAACCUUGAUCUUGCUCAAAAGUUUUUCAUGGAGAUGCAGUAUAAGGGUCAUCAUCCUAAUCUUGUGACUGAAAGCAUUUUGCUUGAUGGACUUUGUAAGAAUGGAAAAACGGACGAGGCACUUAGCCUAUAUAAUAAGUUGGAUAAGAGUGGGAUAGACCUCCAUAUAUCUCUCCAUAGUACCAUGAUGCAUGGUUUGUGCAAGGCUGAGAAGGUUGACGAAGAGUUGAUAUUAUUUAAUAAGCUUCUUGACAAAGGGGUGAAGCCAAAUGUUAUCAUGUAUAACGUAAUGAUCUUUGGGCUUUGCGGGAAAGACUCACUCUAUGAAGUCGAGAAGGUAAUUGGGAAGAUGAAAGAUGCUGGUUGUUUUCUUGUACAUAUAACGCAUUGAUCAGGGGUCGUCUUAGAAGUCGCUUUCCGUCGAUGGUUAUCGAGCUGAUACGAGAAAUGCGGAGCAAUGGCUUUUCUAUGCAUGCAUCGACCUCAAAUAUGAUAAUGGAUAUGGUAUAUGAAGGUAGAUUGGAAAAGGGGUUUUUGGAUCUCCUCUCUUAGUAGAUGUAAGUACUAAACGACUGAUGAGAAGAGCCAGAAGCUUCAAGCUAUCCAGCAUCGCAUGGUUGUUUGUUUGAUGAGAAGAACCAGAAGCUUCAAGCUAUCCAGUUAAAUUAUCCGAAUACCUGCUCCGUUUCACUUCUUCUGUUUUCAAUGUCAUAAAUCCUGUGUGCCUUUGUUUGUUUGGGCACAGUUUCAUUAGUGGCAAUCCCACCGGAAAACGUGGGUCGACCGACACGGGCCCUAAAACAUAUUUGACAUCUGCAGAGAAUGUCUCAAGCCCUAAAACCGAACCUGGACGACACGAUGAACAUCCUCUCGUUUUUUCCCUUCAAAGACGCAAUCAAAUUGAGCCUCGUCUCGGAAAGCUUCAGAAACUCGUGGCUUUUGGGUCGGAACUCGGACAUCACGACCAACUUCAAAACACGAUACAGCGGCUCGAGGGCAUGGAGCAGAGGCAGCAACAAAUGAUGUAUUGAGGUAAGAACAAUGUCCCCUGGAAGUUCAGAUGCUUUUUUACCCCCUGUUUUUGGGAAACUGCAUAAGAUUCUGAUGAAUAUGCCGAUCAAGGCAUGGUAAAAUCAAAGGUGAGAGAGUCUUCAUCCGUCUCAUUUGUUAUAGGAACCAAUCUGAUACACUGUGUUUGUAUCCAUCUGCAACAUGUACGGGAUCCAAUGGAAGCGGAGGCUGAAGCAAGAAGGGGCUGUCGAGAAUCAGAAUUCGGCUUCUCAUGAUGGACAGUUAGUGAAAUAUCAGCCUCCAAUGCACGAGCAAGACCGAGAAGAACCAAACAUAUGGACAAGCUGACCGAACAGAUGAAGAAAAAGGACUGUCGUCGUCUUGGUCUGGCCGGAUGGUUUUCAGGGCACAGAGGGUUUCGGUUUUCCGGUGGCCACGUUUCUCGACGUCAUCGAGGUCUUGAGAAUUAUUGGCAGAUAAAUGCUUGCUCUUCUUGACAAUUGUGGCGUAUAGAACUGAGCUCGUGACUGUUCCGUGGAAUUAAAGAUGCCAUGAGAAUCAGAAGUGGUCAUCCAUGUCUCAGCUCCUGCUUGGCUGUUUUCUUUAUACAACCCUUCCCACUGGGCUUUGGCCCUUUUUUCGCCAGCCUUUACAAAAACAAGCAAAAGAAGACGUUUCGAUCUUCAGUGUUUUUUUUCCAUAUAAUCCAUAUGUUUGUUUUAUCACGUGGAUUCAUCCAAGACGUUGAAAAGUCCACGUUAUUUUUAAAUUUUUUUCCGUUCAUGUAUUAUUGAUAUAAUAGGUUAUACAGUAGAAGAAGAUAGUCAGAGUACCAUUUCAGGUUCAGUUUGGUUA